rnacentral:tRNA from 1 species
GCCUUUGUAGUGUAAUGGAUGCACGCAUCUCUCCUAAAGAUGAAGCUAGAGUUCGACUCUCUACAGAGGUA